UACAUUAACCAUGUACUUUAUUGUUCUUCUGAAUGGAAAGAAAAACAAAGAAAAAACAUGUCUCCAUUUGGAACAUUAAAACGGCUAUGAAAGAACUGUUAUCACAGUGAACAAAGUCUUUUCAACUCAAAGGUCAAUCAGCUAACAGAUAUGUUGUCAACACCAGCACUGUGUGCAUCGUAGAGUGUUCCAAUCCAGGAAAUUCAGAAAGGCAUUGGAUUUUCUUAAAACAAAAUCAGAAUAUGUGCCAGUGCAAAAAACAAAAUUUGAAAUUGUCUUUUAAUGAAUCAACCCCCUAUGUCCUGAAAUGGAAGCAGAAUAAAAGCAUGCGCUGUCCUGUUAGAUCAGAAGCGUGUUUCUUAUAUAAGGCGGAUUACAGAAUGCUACCAGUUUGGUCAACAAAAGCUGAUACACUAGGGAUGCACGUGUGCGUUAACAGUCCCGAACCCUUUACCAACAGAAAUGCAUUAACAUUUUCCUGCAGUAGUUUCAUUCAAUACAAAUGGUCCCCAUUAGGCACACAUGCAUAUCAAUCAGCUUUCACCCCAAACCAUUAUCCACUGGCCACUAAAUUAGAAAGCACCCCGUUUGACAAAAAAGACUGCACACAACUGCUGCGAAAGCAUAGGGAAGUAUAUUAAUGAAGACAGACUGAAGAAGCAUCUUGUUUCCACUUUUAAAGGGUGUAUUAGAUUAACAAAAAAUGUAUUAAGCUCUUAAUCAUUUGAGCAACGCCAGACCUUAUGGAACAUAUCCUAGUCUUGAGAAAACAUGCAACUAUGUUAACUAAAGUGUGGGGUCAUUGAUGAUUUAGAAGAUACACCUUGGGUAAAAACUAGAAACUCCAUUGUAAUAUUUGCAUGUCCGGUGUAAUAACUAAACAUUAGCUGUAAGCCCCAUGUUGCUGGAAAUAGGCCUAAAGGAAUAGGAAGAGGUCACCUGUACACGGUAAACUAAUCAGUAGCAAGCUGUGAUGUUCUUUUAUUGGACUGAGAUCAAACCCAUAACGGGGAGAAAUUCUAAAUGUCAUUGCAUCACAUGCAUUCAUAACCCAACACUUUUCUUACACAAAACAAUCCAAAGACCAGGUCAAGUAAACCCCCCCCUUGGUGUAGGACGCCCCUAAUGACCAAAAUAGAGAAUCCAAAGAGACAGAAAUUAAAUUAAACUAGAGCAACCAACUAAGAUGACCAUGAAAUCAAAGGGUGCCUUGGACUUGUUUAUAGUACUAUUCAAUGCUUUAGCUCAAAAAAAGGACGACCGUAGAUUCUGCCCAGGUUUCUGACACAUUCAAUUCGAGUUGAGUGGGAGGAGCCAGUAGCAGUAGUAUAACAAUCGUUCCCACCUUCACUUUGCCUCCAUCAACAUUCUAUAUACAGAUUUAGAUAUGUACAGCAACAUUUUAUAUAUGUAUAUACACACACGACUGCUGAUAUUAGCAAUGAAUCAUGUACCACUUGCACCAUUUAUGAUUAACUGACAAAGAAAUCAACCAAAUGACACAACAUUGAAAAAAGUAACAUGUAGUCUAUAUACCAAUUCCAAGCAAAUAAUGGAUACAAUUAUGAACUCAACGUGCAACUAUAUCAAGACAAAAGGGUUUUUCUGACCGAGUCUUCUCUGGUCUGAGGGGGGGGGGGAUUUGUUCUCAGGUCCCAGGCUUAAGUAACUAACACAAAUAUCAUGUGACUCCAAGGAAAACUACAGUAGGUGACAUAGGCCGAAGGAUAGAAAGGAGUAGACUCCUUUUUCCUUCCAUAACAAAAUGAAUCAGCCAAGGGCAGAAGUGGACAUAAAGGUAAAUAAAAACGUUUUAUAAAAGAUAAUGACCAUUUGAAUCCAUUAAACAAGUAUAACUUUAUAUACCUGGGUCUCUCAUUAAACACUCCCUGUUAUUGCCAUAAUAAAAAUUAUUUGAUUAAUUUCUGCCUCUUUAUAAUCUUUUUUUAUACAAUAAACUGAAUAUAUUGAGCUAUACAUUGUGGGCCGCAUGCCAUGACAGUUUGCAAAACCCCAUAUGAAAUUCAGAGUGGUUUCUAAAGGGUUAUUACGUGGAGACACACAGCUGGACCUCCAUUUGUGUUACAUUUCAAGUAGUGAGAGUGACAUUCCGACUGCUGCCGCCGCCGCUGUGUUUCAACACACUAAGAGCACUGACCCACCGGACAUAAGGCGGGCACGUGACAGCAGGCUGCCUUGCUCACUUGUCGUGACCCACACUCAACACUAGACACGUCACCACUGGGGAGCACUAGUCAAAAAGAAAACUAAAAAAAUACACCUUUGACCAAAUCAUCUGAUACUUCAAAUCAUCUAAAUUCACAGGAGAGGCUUCCGAUUGGCUGCAGAGCACCGUGGCCCCGCCCGACACCCCAUCCUUCAACCUCCUCCUCCCCUCGCCGAUGUUCCUCGGAUUGGUCGAUGUGGACCCACAACUCCUAAGUCACACUCCCACCCUGCUCC
ensembl:lncRNA